UACGUAGGGUGCGAGCGUUGUCCGGAAUUAUUGGGCGUAAAGAGCUCGUAGGCGGCUUGUCGCGUCGGAUGUGAAAGCCCGGGGCUUAACUCCGGGUCUGCAUUCGAUACGGGCAGGCUAGAGUUCGGUAGGGGAGAUCGGAAUUCCUGGUGUAGCGGUGAAAUGCGCAGAUAUCAGGAGGAACACCGGUGGCGAAGGCGGCGACCUGGGGUGAGGUUGACGCUCAGACACGAAAGCAUGGGGAGCGAACGGG
rnacentral:rRNA from 1 species